UCAUAUGCUUGUCUCAAAGAUUAAGCCAUGCACGUCUAAGUGCAAGCCGCAUUAAGGUGAAACCGCGAACGGCUCAUUAAAUCAGUUAUGGUUCCUUGGACGUGCCACAGUUACAUGGAUAACUGUGGUAAUUCUAGAGCUAAUACAUGCCACGAGAGUCCCGACCGGAGACGGGAAGGACGCUUUUAUUAGAUCAAAGCCAAUCGGCCGGCGGGUAAAACCGCCGCGCCGUACGCCUUGGUGACUCUGAAUAACACGUUCGAUCGCACGGUCUCGCACCGGCGACGGAUCCUUCAAAUGUCUGCCUUAUCAACUGUCGAUGGUACGCUCCGCGCUUACCAUGGUCGUAACGGGUAACGGGGAAUCAGGGUUCGAUUCCGGAGAGGGAGCCUGAGAAACGGCUACCACAUCCAAGGAAGGCAGCAGGCGCGCAAAUUACCCACUCCCGGCACGGGGAGGUAGUGACGAAAAAUAACGAUACGGGACUCAUCCGAGGCCCCGUAAUCGGAAUGAGAACACUUUAAAUCCUUUAACGAGUACCCAUUGGAGGGCAAGUCUGGUGCCAGCAG
rnacentral:rRNA from 1 species